GUUUUAAUAAAUCGGCUUUACAGGUUCAUACAGAUAGUCUAUCACACUUAAAAAGACGCUUGUUUUUGUCCACCUAGUGGCAUAACAGUGUGGUUUGCAUUAUAAAUGGUAAAAUUAAUCAUUCAGAAAAAAGAUUUGAAUCAUUGAGAACUGAAUCGCUUCACGUCGCCGAUUCGAAUGCUUGUCAGUCAACUGUCACCAACCGUCUUCUGAAGGUAAAGUACUUCUUAAGUUAUUUUAUUGUUAAAGUGCUCUAAUUACUGCUCUGUUUUAACGUUAAAUCAGUAAAUUGCUUUAUAACAUCAAAACAAAUGCUUAUUUUAUUUUUAAAGUCGAGAUCAUAUUAGUAAUUACUAGCACAUUGCUAACGUAAUAUACCCAGACCUAACAAUUUAUACCUGUUAACAUUAUAUUGUUAACUUACUUAACGUACCUUCCAGAAACCCCUGAAGAGAUGGAGGAGGAAUUAGCUAACCCGUCCAAGCGGAUAAGGACAGCAAAAGUCCUCAACCAGGAUGAAGAAUAGGACGAGAAAGGAACUGAAAAAGAAAAAGGAGCUCUGAAAGAGAAAAACAAAACAUUAAGGACUGCUGAAGCCUCAGAAAAAAAGAAAAACCCUUCUAAAAAUUCUAGAAGACAGAGAGGAAGAGAGAGGCCCCACUUUUUGAAAUGGGUCCUCCCCCCCCCCCAAAAAAACACAGAUGACAGAGAUCACAGAUUUUCUGACAGCGAAGAUGAAGUAGUAACUAUUCUUCUUCAAGAAAAUAUAGAUCAAUGAAGACACAAAAUCAAGAGCUUUAAGAAGAGCUAGAGAAAUGCACAAACAAGGAGUCGAGCCAGGUCCAGUCAAUAAUAUGGUGAUUUUGUCUGCGAGGCCCGAAGAGAGGAAACUUGCUGAAGGAUUAAGGAGUACACUUUAUAAAGGUGUCACCAGUGAGCUGCCUGAUCUUUCAGUCCUUCAAGUGGCAGAGAUUUACAAACACUUUGCCAGUUUUACAGCCCCUUUGGUCACCACAAUUGGAAUGUUGAGUGAGGAUUUUUGGGUGGAUUCUGCCUUCGGAAAAAUUCAAGUUGGAAUAGUCCUGUCAUACCAACAGCCAGCUGCAACAAACCGCAACAUUGUUCCUCAUCGUGAUGCCUCACCAACACCACCACUGCCACUAGAUUGUUACAGCCACCUGUCUGCUUGUUUUUUCAUAAUAAUCAGAAACAACUUCACAUGAGGUCAUUGACCAUAACUUCAGAAAUGGCUCACUAUGUUAAGCAAGCCACCAGAUAUCAGAGUGCAUGUCUUGAUUGGCAUUCUGUCAGGAAAACCCGGAUAACGUCGUCACGCUUCAGUAAGAUGUCUGUCAUGUGCAUGGCCAGACCUCAGCUGAACACCUGGCCGAAAGAAUCCACAAGGAACUCGUCAGACAGCCGACAUGAAGCGAGGACUUCAAAUGGAGUCUGAAGCAGUUAUGGAGUACUGCUUGCUGCGAGAGGUAAAUUACCAGCCAUGUGGAUUUUUAAUUCACACUGAUGCUCCUUGGCUGGGGUCCCCUCCAGAUGGGAUCAUUUUUGACCACAACGAGCACCAUGUUUUAGGCCUUCUAUAAAUAAAAUGUCCCAACGUCAAAAGUUUUGUUGACUGUUCUUACCUCAAAUUUCACAAUGGCACACCAGAACUGAAACAGCAACAUGCCUACACUGUUAACCCUUACUGUAGAUUAUGCAGUAAAUAACUGUAAAAUAGCCAGUGUUUUGCUGUAAUAAAAGGAAACAGUAUUUUACUGUAAAAGGAGCAGUAUUUGUAUGAAAUUUUGUAGUGCAAAGCAUAAAUUACAGUAAUUUACUUUAUGUACCCAUUACAGAUAGUUACUGUGAUAAUAAAUGGUAAAUUACUGCUCAACCAUUAUUACCCCAUGUACUCUGAUGCUUUAUGUUGCUA
rnacentral:lncRNA from 1 species